rnacentral:misc_RNA from 1 species
UCCGGCUUGUCGCCGGCGGUCCCUUUAGAGUGCCCAACUGAAUGAUGGCAACUAAAGGAGAGGGUUGCGCUCAUUGCGGGACUUAACCCAACAUCUCACGACACGAGCUGACGACAGCCAUGCAGCAUCUGUGGUGCACCCUCGAAGGUCACACGUUUCCGUGCGCUUGCAGCACCAUGUCAAGCCCAGGUAAGGUUCUUCGCGUUGCAUCGAAUUAAAGAACAUGCUCCACCGCUUGUGCGGGCCCCCGUCAAUUCCUUUGAGUUUCAGCCUUGCGGCCGUACUUCCCAGGCGGGGCACUUAAUGCGUUAGCUCCGACACCGAAUGCGUCUAUACACCCGGCAUCUAGUGCCCAUCGUUUACGGCGUGGACUAC